CCUGGCUCAGAUUGAACGCUGGCGGCAUGCCUUACACAUGCAAGUCGAACGGUAACAGGUCUUCGGAUGCUGACGAGUGGCGAACGGGUGAGUAAUACAUCGGAACGUGCCCAGACGUGGGGGAUAACGAGGCGAAAGCUUUGCUAAUACCGCAUACGAUCUAAGGAUGAAAGCAGGGGACCGCAAGGCCUUGCGCGUUUGGAGCGGCCGAUGGCAGAUUAGGUAGUUGGUGGGAUAAAAGCUUACCAAGCCGACGAUCUGUAGCUGGUCUGAGAGGACGACCAGCCACACUGGGACUGAGACACGGCCCAGACUCCUACGGGAGGCAGCAGUGGGGAAUUUUGGACAAUGGGCGAAAGCCUGAUCCAGCAAUGCCGCGUGCAGGAUGAAGGCCCUCGGGUUGUAAACUGCUUUCGUACGGAACGAAAAGCCUGGGGCUAAUAUCCCCGGGUCAUGACGGUACCGUAAGAAUAAGCACCGGCUAACUACGUGCCAGCAGCCGCGGUAAUACGUAGGGUGCAAGCGUUAAUCGGAAUUACUGGGCGUAAAGCGUGCGC
rnacentral:rRNA from 1 species